UGACAUACGAAAAGAGUCCAAGACUGUUGUUGUUGUUAACACAUUACAAAAAAAGCUGCGGGAAUUGCAAGGCAGGAUAUAUCCUUCUACGGCCCAAUUCCAUAGGACUGGCUUAAAACUAUAUAAUUUUGACAAAAACUACUACAUAGGUUUAAGAUAAUUUAUAUAAUUUUUAAAUAAAACUACACUGCAUAAUUUUGAUAUAACAAACUAAACAAAUAUACCCAACAUUAAUCCCUAAUUCAAUCAAGUCUCCACCCUUGCAAAACCUUGUUGCUGUCUCCUCGUGGUGUCGCCUCCACCCGCUGCUGCAUUCUUCAUCGGCUGCUGCUGUCCCUUUGUUGCUGGCUGCUGCUGUCUACUCGUUGUGUCGCCUCCACCCGCUGCUGCAUUCUUCAUCGGCUGCUGCUGUCCCUUUGCUGCUGUCGCCUUAAGGUAAGACCCCAGCUGUCGUAAUGGCGACCUCCAUUUCAACCUCUUCCUUAAUUUUCCGAAGACCGCUUCAAUCUUUAGUAUCAUUUUCACCUAAAUCGCGCCACAGAUUUAGGAGACUUGAUGAAUUUCCAACAAUCUCCUGCAAUUACUCUUGCUUUGAAGUUAGGGAUGUUAGCUAUAGGCCUCCUGGAACACAACUCAAUCUCUUAAAUGGAGUUAGUUUUUCUCUUCCAGAGAAAAGUUUUGGAUUGAUAUUUGGACAAAGUGGGAGUGGAAAAACUACUCUCUUGCAGCUUCUUGCAGGGCUAAGUGAACCAACUUCAGGUUCUAUUUGCAUUCAGAAAUAUGGGAAUGACGGCAAUCCAUGUCAGUCUCCUAAACCGUUAUCUCAUGAAAGAGUUGGUAUUGUCUUUCAGUUUCCUGAGAGGUAUUUUGUGGCAGAUACUAUACUUGAUGAAGUCAUAUUUGGGUGGCCAAGGCAAAAGGGCAGCCUUCAAUUGAAGGAGCAUCUUGCUUUGAAUCUUCAGAAAGCUAUUACUUGGGUUGGACUAAAUGGGAUUUCUCUGGGAAAAGAUCCUCACUCCCUUAGUGGUGGCUAUAAACGUAGGCUUGCUUUGGCAAUCCAAUUAGUUCAAGUCCCUGAUCUGUUGAUAUUGGAUGAACCUCUUGCAGGGCUUGAUUGGAGAGCACGAGCAGAUGUUGUAAAGCUUUUGAAGCAGCUAAAGAAAGAAUUAACUGUACUUAUUGUUAGCCAUGACCUCAAGGAGUUAGCAGCUCUAGUUGAUCAUUCUUGGAGGAUGGAAAUGGGUGGAUUUCUAAAGGAAGAGCAACUUCCAGAAUAACAUGAGACCCUACUAUUGACAUCCUAUCAACAUUUGAUGGUCUAUUGAUGACCCAAAUAGAUAUCCUUGAAGGGGACAAAAUGCAGUUAUUCCAUUAUCUUCAGCACUAGCUUCCUCUGUUUGUAUGCCGCUAAGCGUAAUAGUGCUCACAUAACUGCUCCUUGCCAAUGAUUCAUUGCAACCUUCUUCUUCAGCUUCAGCCUCAAGAAACUUUUCUAGUUCAUCAUUAAGGAGCUUCAAUUCAUUCUCCGUCACCUCUGUCUUUUCAUCUUCAAUAUUCUCAAAAGACACUGGAAGUGUUGGUGUUACUGCCUCACUGAGAGAAUUCUGGUCGCAUUAUAACAACAGAGACAGUAGGUCCUGUGGCCACAUGACAUCAGUGGUCUCAGCCAGUAUCGGAUGAGGCUAAAAGUUAAUGAUUUCCAGUUUCUGUAAGGACCAAGGAGAGGAGUAAUACUUGAUCUCCUUUUCUUUCUAUUUAAAGAAAACCUGCAUUUUACCCAAAAUGAGUCUGCUUUUGCAAUGUAACACAGUCAUUGAGCUGUUCGUGGUACGUGUCAUGGAACCAAAAACUUGAUUUAGGCAUGAUUGUGACAUCAUUGAUGACUUCAGUUCGACAUCUCAAAUUGCCUUGAUUUCCUUUUUCUUCUCAAAUAUUAUUAUGGAGCCCACGUGAUCAUAGUUGUUGGCUCUGAUAUGUUUAGAAUACCCUACAAACAUAUCAUUCACAGUAAGCCAUGCUGAAAGUCUGUUGACAAAGCCAUGAGGUGAUCUUCAAUUAUGGACUUGGCAGUGAGUAUAACAUUGAAAAGGGCUAAUAUAAAUCCACUGUGGAUUAUAGUAACAAACCUUGACUGAUGUGCUUAAUUGAACAGGAUGACAGUAACAGAUGCACCGGUGCUGCAUGCCAUUUUGUGCUUUGCAAGGUAAUUUUGAUGUAGCAGCAUAAUCAAAUUUGUAAGACCUUGGAAUUAGUAUUUAAAUUAUCUCUUGAAUUACUCACUUCUUAUGAAAUGAAUUACAUUAUAUUACUUUUCCAAAAA